UACGUAGGGUCCGAGCGUUGUCCGGAAUUAUUGGGCGUAAAGGGCUCGUAGGCGGUUGGUCACGUCGGGAGUGAAAACUCAGGGCUCAACCCUGAGCGUGCUUCCGAUACGGGCCGACUAGAGGUAUGCAGGGGAGAACGGAAUUCCUGGUGUAGCGGUGAAAUGCGCAGAUAUCAGGAGGAACACCGGUGGCGAAGGCGGGUCUCUGGGCAGUAACUGACGCUGAGGAGCGAAAGCGUGGGGAGCGAACAGG
rnacentral:rRNA from 1 species